rnacentral:lncRNA from 1 species
CUCACCACCCGCCUCCCACUUCCUCCGUUCUUCGUCCCCACGCCCCGAUCCCCUUCCGCCCUCCUCUUCCUAAGCCGCCGGCGUCCACCACGCGACCCCUCCUCUUCUCCACCAAGCCAGCCCGUCCCCACACGACGAGCUCGUGCAGAUCGAGGCGUCUACCACGCAGAAGACGUCGGGGAGCACGAGAGCCUCCAUUGCGCCCCCUUCCGACGGCCGCCCGGCGGUAACCCAACUCCUCCCCUCCUCUUAUCCAACACAGGGAGAAGCCGCCUGCUUCCACCGCAAGGAGACGCCGUAGACGGAACGUCCUGGGUGCUGAUCCUCACAACACACUCCAGGCAAACACCAUAUAUCUUGCAAUCUUGGUAUCUGUGUAGGUCUAACUUAGGUCAGGUGUCAUUUUAUUACUAAGGAGGCAGAAGGUUGUGUAGAUGGUCAGUGCAAAUAGGAGCUGUGAAGCGGGUGCGUCAUGGUGGCAGCAGUUGCAGCUCUGGCAGUUUGACUCGGAGUUCAAGUGGACGAAUUUUUCAGGGAAGCUUAGGGCGGUUGCUUGGGGUCCAGAAAGAACUUGUGUAUUAACAUUGGUGAGUGGAUUACGAGGUUAGCUUUGUUCUUCUGUUUUGGGGGCUGGGAUUGGAUUGACUUGAUUUGUGGUGCGUUUGCUUGUAGAUGUCCAGAAGCUGGGGAGUGCAAACUGGGUCAACUAGAGGUGCUUGCAACUGCAAAAAAACAAGACGAACACAAACUUAAGGCAUGUGCAAUUAUGUCGAAUUUGAUAUGCAAUGCUCAGCUGUUGUGUUACUCCCUCCGUUCCGAAUUACUUGUCUUGGAUUUGUCUAGAUACGGAGGUAUCUAGCACUAAAAUGAGUCUAGAUACAUCCGUAUCUAGACAAAUCCAAGACAAGUAAUUCGGAACGGAGGAAGUAGAUGUUAUCGCAAACAUAGCUCCUUCUUGUACGUUUAGGGCUUGACAUGCUUAUGUGACUGAUUGGUAUGUUAAUUAAUAUCUCCAUAUCCUAAAAAAACUCUUGAGAACAUUUUGAACUAAAUUUGAUUUUUUCAGUUCUCGGUGUUAUAGUAAUUGUGUUUUGUCUUUUAUUUCCUCACAUAUGCUGGCUGGUUUCGGUAUCAUAUUUGAAAUUACUGGUUGGUUUAAUAUCAUUAGCCUGCAGCCAAUUUAUGACUUUUGAAUUUAGAAUGUGCACAGGUUAAAUCCUUCUCUUUACCAAAAAUAAAUGUGCAGAAUUAGCAUGUACAAUAAUUAUUUUAUUUAUCUUUGUUGAAUAGCUUUUUCAUGACGUUUAUCUACAACCAUUCAGGUCAGGAGCUUCUGGAACGCUUUAGUCGAUGAUAAAUCAGUUCAAAGUACCAUGUUCUCGAUCAAGAAAGGUUGUUUUUACAUUUGUAUUCAAAGGUCUCCCUCGCCGCACACGAGGCCGUAUGCACGACCACUGCCACUCCAUCGCUAUCGCUAUUUCUCCCCGGGAUUGGGUUUUGAUAAUUUUUUCGUGUGUGU